rnacentral:hammerhead_ribozyme from 1 species
AUCCAGCUGACGAGUCCCAAAUAGGAAGAAAUGCGAAUCAUCCUGGAU